ensembl:lncRNA
AAUAGUGACUAAAACAGAUCAGACCUGAAAUGAAAGUCCUGAAGCGUAGUCCAGAGCUGGUGCUGGAGAGUCUCUCAGGAGGAGUGUGUCCGGUUAUAAACAGCAGAAAGAUACAUGUGUCUUCAGACCUUGAGCAGCGACUGCAGCCAGGGUGCGUUCAGCAGACUGUGGAGAAUCUCUGCACCGUCGACGUCCGGGUUCACCGACUGUUUCACCUCCUCGAUCACAUCUGUCAGGAUCUGUUGCAGGUCUGCAACACGCAGACCCACAGAGUCGGACCAUUAGACUGAGCUGUAAAGUGGAACAAUGAUCAAAUAAAUUGUAAUGACAAGCUGACCGUCUUCUCCUAGCUCACAGUGGGGGUUUAACACCUGAGCCUCCACCGCCUGCCUCAUGGUCACCGGACCCCCGACCUCUGACCCCACCACCUGCUGGAUCCUUACAAAGACAAACCUGGAGAAGAACAACAGGUUGGCUUCAGACAGCGAGUUCAGAUUUCCCAUAAUGUUGACUUUUCUGUUUAUUAUAACAUCUGAGAUCUGACAAAUAAAAAUAAUGUAACAGUGAGUUAUAGUUAAAAUAAAUCGCUGAGAUUAUUGAGGUUAUUUUGAGCUUUUGGAGACACAUCAUGAUCCCUGCACAGAGAAUACAGACCGGGACUCAACAAUUUACUGUGUUAAAUAAAAACUGUUCACAGAACAAAACUAAAAGUUGCAAAGCUGCAAAUUCUACCUGACAUGCACCGAACCUGACACUCUGAGACUCUUUACCCAGUUAGUAAUCCACCCUGUCGUGAGUGUGCCGUGGGAUCAGCUCGAGAGGUGAAGUCACCACUCCAUCAGCUACGAGUGUGAACGGGGUCAGGGGUCAAUGGCACACUUCACGGCUACAUGUACGGACGACGGUGAUGUAAACACACAGACACUAUAAUCUCAGGUGAACCAUCACAUGACAGAAAGCACGCCUGGACAAUGUGUUGUUAAAGUUUCACAAGAACAAGAAGAGGAGACGAUGAUUUAUUUUUCCUACAUUAGAUCAGUUUUAGCAGAUUUUACUGUAAC